CGGUUCUGUCUUCCUUCUCCGAUCAGCUUCUCUAUUUGUCGGUCUUCUUCUUUCCAAUGCCAGCAACUCGCCGCCGGCCUUCUCACCAUCAACGCCAUCUGCUUCAGCGGUGUGGAAGUCACCGGAUUUCCACUUUGGUCUGCUGCCCUGUUUCAUUUCUGAAUUUUUCAGCUUCAUCCUCGGUGUGUAAGGCAGUUGGUUGAAACAUCCUUUCUCUUUUCUAGUGGCAGCUCCACUGCACUUUGGUUGUAGGCAUUAGUUCCAAGAAGGAUAAAGGGAAAGCAUCAGAGGCUUGGAAACUCAGUUUCCUAUUAUAGGCCUCUCGUAAUUUUAAUUGCAUAUGUGUAAUUAAUUGAUAUUGCCAACUAAGAUGUCCAUAUUUUGUUAUUAUUUGUACUAUUGAAUAUUGAGUAUUGAAAGGUAUAUUUUAGGCCUAGUGCAGGUGGUAUCUUUUUAGGUGAGAUAGAUGAGUAAGGUCAAAAUAUUAA